rnacentral:rRNA from 1 species
UACGGAGGGUGCGAGCGUUGUCCGGAAUCAUUGGGCGUAAAGGGCGCGUAGGUGGCCCGGUCAGUCUUUGGUGAAAGCGCGGGGCUCAACCCUGCGUCGGCCAGGGAUACUGCCGCGGCUCGAGCACUGUAGAGGCAGGCGGAAUUCCGGGUGGUAGCGGUGGAAUGCGUAGAGAUCCGGAAGAACACCGGUGGCGAAGGCGGCCUGCUGGGCAGUUUAGCUGACACUGAGGCGCGACAGCGUGGGGAGCAAACAGG